CAGCCAGCGCUCCUGCAGGGCCAUGCCAGGCCCUGGGCACAGUGAGGGCCUGCAGACGUGGCCCCUGUCCUCCUGAGACGCCCAGUGCGGCGUGGAAGCAGGCCGGGGGCACGCCGGGAAGGACUGAGCUCCCAUCUGGUUGCACAGGGAGGCUUCCCGAGGAGUGAGAUCCCAGGGGACCUGGAAGAUGAGUCUGUGAAGCUGCGAAUGAACCCACCCGGUGAAGCGGGCUGGAUCAGGUGCGGGGCGUGUGGGGCAGGGGGAGCCAGAGAGCAGAAUGCUUCCCUCUGGGGGGCCAGCAGGGCCGGCGCCUGGGACACGGACCAGGCUCCCCGUGGACGCCCAGAGUCCAAGUGGGGGCCAUGGAGAGGGCUCUGGGGGGCUCCUGCUGGACAAAGCACACUGGGCGGCCAACGGGGCUAAAAUUUUAAGGGGCAAAGUCCUCUUGGAAGGCCAAAAACCGGUGGCUGCACCACAGCCCUUCCCGCCCGCAGUUCCAGAGCCCGGGAGGAGGCCAGGCUGCCAGCAUGGGCAGGUCCUGCCCACGUCCCCUCGAGGCCUUUUCUUGUCCACACAGAAGGAGAGGGGGCUCUCAUAAGGUACCCCCCUUCGUGUCUCAUCCCUUAUCACCUCCCACAGUCCCACCUCCAAAUACAUCACGCUGGGAAUGAGGGUUUCAGCAGGUGCGUUUGGGGGACACAAAGAGCCCCGAGCAGAGGGCUAGGACCCGAUGUGCGUGGGAGACAACGGGCACCAGGAAGUGGAAGGGAGACGGGCCGGCAGAACAGUGUCAGGUGCAGGCACCCGGAGCAGGGGGCGGUGGGGGAGGGGUAGAGCCGGCGGCCCUGAGAGUGGUGGGCAAGCGGGGAACUGAGCCUCCAGCGUCGACUCCUGGCUCAGGGAGGCCCCCAGGUUCUCGGGCGGCCGAGGGGAAGGGGCUUGGGGCGCUCGUCCUAUGCACUUCCGGCGCUCUUCCUGCGGCCGCACAGCAGGAUUGCUCCCUCCUGCAUCUGGGGGGGGGGGGGGGGGAGAGAGAGAUCAGGAGCGGCCACGUGACUCACUUUGACCAAUUAGGUGUGGGCAGAGUGCAAGGGCCACUUCCGGAGGAAGCACCGACAAGCCCACAGGUGACUCCCCACCCCUCCCCACCAACUGCAAUUAUCACCCACCUCCCGACAGUGACAACUCUGCCGGCCUGGGCCCCUCGCCAGGCGGCGGACGGAGACAAUGGCAAACAGGACCCAUCCGCCUUCUACCGCCCUCGUUCCCCUCCUGUUGAAGAGCCCUCACCAGCCCCCAGGGCACACCCUGAAGCUCUCUCUGGUCGGACCGGCACCCGGUUGUGCGUGGAGACGCCCGACACCCCCCUGUCUCCAGCAGCUGCACGGGGUCUGUCCGGGGCCUGGGCGCCUCGGCAUUUUCUCGACAGUUCAGUUCAGAGUUGAGCCGCGCUGCACGGGCCUGCGGUGAGAGCUGGCCUCCUGCCAGCAAGGUACCGCGGGCCACCACAGCCUCAGCUCCAUUCCCGUGCUCCCCCCACCCCACGUCUCUCUCUGCCUGCCCUUUAGCAGGAUCUGAAGCUGGCAGGUGUCAGCCGUGUUCGGGGGCACCCCGUCAGCAUCUGGCUCAUCACAGGCGAGGGUGAGGGUCCUGCCCCUGAGCUGGGAUUUGCAGGCGGGGCCGGGACCUGGCACAUCAGCGGGGUUAUGGCAGCCCAAACAGGAUCGAUGCCAGCGGGCUGAGGCACCUCCCGGCACCCGUGCCGGCAGCCCACCCCCGUCCCCACCAAGCCCAGACCCGGCCCCGGGAGAUGGGGGGAAGAAUCCCUCGACAGACGGUUCAAACACCUGGGUUGAUCUGUGGGAUGUUAUUUUUUAUUUCUGUUAUCAGGCUAUGCAUAGUGUCGAUUCCAAAAGUGAGUGUGGUUAUAAAAAAAAAAAUAAUUACUUUUUGAAACUUUUUAUGCAAGCACGCUACACAGACAGAAACGGGUGUACGUUGUAAUCGUAAUCGUGGAGCACCUUGAGUUUCUCACACACUGGGGAUGCCCAAUAAAAGAGUCACUUCUUAAGCUUUGUGCGUGUGG
ensembl:lncRNA